AGUCCUUCUGGAUUGAUUCUUGCUUCUUUCGAAGGUCGACACUGCCGCCUUUUUCAGGUUGGAUCCCAUGGCAAGGACGAAUCUCUUUCCCUCUCUCUCUCUGUUUUUUUUUUUUCCAAUUAUUUUAAGAUAAUUUCUAUUUAGUAGUUAUCUGUAUUUUCAAAUUCAUGGAAAUAGUUUUUUUUUUUUUUCAUAUGGGAAGUGGAGAAAUUUUGGGGUUUUGAGAUGCUGAUUGGUUAAAUGAAUGGCAAUGUGAUGGGUUGGUGGAUGCAUAAUUCAGCUGUGGUGAUUGUUUUGGGCUGGACGGUUUUGAUGUUUCUAGAUGGGAUUGGUUUUGAAUUGAAUGGGUGCUGAUAGAGAUUCUGUUGUGGUGUUAGCAGAUUAUUGCAUUUUCUGAAAUUGAAAUAUUGGGCUUUGGUGAGAAUUUUAAUUCAGUUAUCUGUAUUUUUAAAUUUGUGGAAAAAGUUUUUUUUUUUUUUUUUUUGAAGUGGAGAAAUUUUGGGGUUUUGGGAUGUUGAUUGGUUAGAUGAAGUGGCGUGUUUCUGUACAUUGUGUGGUAAUGUGAUUGGUUGGAGGAGAUUUGGCGUGGUCAGAGAUUCACACAGACAUAAAGGGGUUCGACAGGAAAGUCGUUUCGAUCCAUGUGUAAUUGAGCGGUUGUGAUUGUUUGGGAUGAACAGUUUUGAUGUUUCCAGGUGGGGUUGCUUUAGGAUUGAAUUAGUGCUACUAGAGAUUCUGUUACACUGUUUUGCAUUUUUCUGAAAUUCCAAUUUCAGGAUUUGGAAAUUUGCCUAUUUUGCUUGUUUAUUCUUCUUUGAUUCUUGCUUUGUUUCCAAUUCCAUGUUUUGAUGCUAAUGAGGUGAAUCUGAAAUGGUUCUUUCAAUGCAUGUUCCUUAUCUGACUUUAAAAGCUUUUGAAUUUUCCAUGAAAUUCCUUUUGUUAAAAGAUUGCAAAUUGGUUUUUCUUUGAUGAUUUUGCCUUGUGAUUGUUGGGUAUUAUUCCCUUUGGAAAGUUCGAUGUUUGUAUUUCUCAUGUGUAUAUCUUCUGUCAAAUACAUACAUUUUUUUAUUUGUUUUAUCCCCUGAAUACAACUUUACCGAGUCCCAUGCAUCUCUAUUGUCCAUGUGGCACUAGCGCAAGGUGAUCAGGACCAUUGAUUUUGUAAUAUGCCAAAUGGAUGGGGCAUAUCCCUAUAAUCCAGGGGACUGGUCUGUAGUAGCCAUCCGAUCUGAGGCCUGAAAAUGUGACUGUUUGCUACAAAUCAGCCAACCAUCCUCUCAACAUGCAAAGCUCACAACAAAUGGGUGGUCAGAGUUGUCCAAUCUUAUGGAGUUCCUCUUAAAAUUGCAGCAUUUACGUAGCUUGCUGGUAGGAAUCAAAUUCUUGCAAUUGACAAUUUUCGGAAAAGAGUAAUGAUAUUGCCAAAUGUCAGUCUUCUGUGCCUUGAGGAUGUGGAGUUUGUCGAUCAUCUUUUUAUUCACUGCACCUUUUCCUAGGUGUUUGGUCUGGUAUUUUUAUCCAUUUGAAGGUUUCUUGGGUUAUGCCUAGAUCUAUGGAGAGCCUCUUCCAAUAUGGACCCAAUGGUGGAGGGGGACAAUUUGGUAAAGCCAGAUGGAGGGUAAUCCUUUUAGCUUUUCUCUGGGUCAUUUGGAUUCUGUAAGUUUAUUUUGUUCAUGGGUUUCCCUGCCUCCUUUGUAUUCACAAUUGUUUGUAGAUAAUCUUUUGCUUGGUUUUAUUAUAUAUUACAUUGAUUUCUUUGUGGGCUUUUUGUUGCUUUUCUUUUUUCUUUUUUCUUUUUUCUUUUUUAAUUGCUCGCUGGAUUUUCUGUUCUUAUUUUGUGCAGAACUCAUUAGUUCCUGGAAAUUUGGUUUGUUUUGAUUUCUAAAUCUUCCACUGAAUUGUCUGCUUGGGUUUGAUGGUGGCAGUUCAAGGUUGGUCGUGAAUUCCAAAGGCAAUGCUCUCUUAUUUCUUUCUCUUCUAUUGUUUUUCAAGGUUCUCUGCUCUUCUUUUGACAUUUCACUAGGUGCGAGGUUGUCGAGCUUUGGCCGAAUAAAAAAAAGAAGCAAGAAUGUAUUUAGGAGUUUAUGUUUCUGGAUUGUAGGCCUAGGCUUUUGGUAAUUAAUUCUAUUGUGGCUUGCUUCUUUUAAUUUAUAAUUUUGACUGGAUAUCCUAAUGAAGUGUCUACCUUUUCAUCUAUUAGGCAUUUUUGUUGGCUGUAUAAUUUAUAUUGGAGAAUGUACUUGUUUCUCUUCAUAGUGUAUCUUCUAACUUGUUCUAUUGGAUCCCUGACAAGACAGCAGAACUCAUGUUUGAAAAAUACAAAGUCCCUGCAUUAUUUUUAGCCAAGAAUGCUGUACACUCUCUGUCCAUCUCUUGAUUGCAUAUCUGAAUUGAAUUGACACUAGUACAAUUGAAAACCCUAUCACAGGUUCUAACUUCGUUUGCAUCUGGUCGUGCUACCUCUUUGGUUGUUGAUAGUCCAUCCUUCCAGCGGUUUGCAGUGAGGACUUCCAAAACAAUAGAAGACAUCCCUAAC